GUAGGGUCCAAGCGUUUAAUCGGAAUUACUGGGCGUAAAGCGUGCGCAGGCGGUUGUGCAAGACCGAUGUGAAAUCCCCCGGGCUUAACCUGGGAAUUGCAUUGGUGACUGCACGGCUAGAGUGUGUCAGAGGGGGGUAGAAUUCCACGUGUAGCAGUGAAAUGCGUAGAGAUGUGGAGGAAUACCGAUGGCGAAGGCAGCCCCCGUGGGAUAACACUGACGCUCAUGCACGAAAGCGUGGGGGAGCAAACAGGAUUAGAUACCCUGGUAGUCCACGCCCUAAACGAUGUCAACUAGUUGUUGGGGAUUCAUUUCCCUUAGUAACGUAGCUAACGCGUGAAGUUGACCGCCUGGGGAGUACGGUCGCAAGAUUA
rnacentral:rRNA from 1 species